AGGACGAACGCUGGCGGCGUGCUUAACACAUGCAAGUCGAGGGCAGGGAGCAAUCCCUGACCGGCGAACGGGUGCGUAACACGUGAGUGACCUGCCGAUCCGCGGGGGAUAGCCGGCCCAACGGCCGGGUAAUACCGCAUACGCUCUUUGUCGGGCAUCCGACGGGGAGGAAACUUCCGGGGCGGAUCGAGGGGCUCGCAGCCUAUCAGCUAGUUGGCGGGGUAACGCCCACCAAGGCAGUGACGGGUAGC
rnacentral:rRNA from 1 species